GAUCGUGGCUCAGAUUGAACGCUGGCGGCAGGCUUAACACAUGCAAGUCGAGCGGGGGGAGGUUGCUUCGGUAACUGACCUAGCGGCGGACGGGUGAGUAAUGCUUAGGAAUCUGCCUAUUAGUGGGGGACAACAUUCCGAAAGGAAUGCUAAUACCGCAUACGUCCUACGGGGGAAAGCAGGGGAUCUUCGGACCUUGCGCUAAUAGAUGAGCCUAAGUCGGAUUAGCUAGUUGGUGGGGUAAAGGCCUACCAAGGCG
rnacentral:rRNA from 1 species